GAUCCAGAAGCUCAGCCACCACGGUCCCCUGACCGGCUGACUGGCAACCGUGUCCGCACAACGGUGCCCGCAGGGGAAGAUCGGCCCGCCUCGCGACCGCGACGGGAAACUGCGACAC
rnacentral:ncRNA from 1 species